AGAGCGAACGCUGGCGGCAUGCUUAACACAUGCAAGUCGCACGGCUGGGGCAACCCAGCAGUGGCGGACGGGUGAGUAACGCGUAGGUAUCUAUCCUUGGGUGGGGGACAACUGUGGGAAACUACAGCUAAUACCGCAUGAUAACUGAGGUUUAAAGGCGCAAGUCGCCUGGGGAGGAGCCUGCGUACGAUUAGCUUGUUGGUGGGGUAAAGGCCUACCAAGGCGACGAUCGUUAGCUGGUCUGAGAGGAUGAUCAGCCACAUUGGGACUGAGACACGGCCCAAACUCCUACGGGAGGCAGCAGUGGGGAAUAUUGGACAAUGGGCGCAAGCCUGAUCCAGCAAUGCCGCGUGUGUGAAGAAGGUCUUCGGAUUGUAAAGCACUUUCGACGGGGACGAUGAUGACGGUACCCGUAGAAGAAGCCCCGGCUAACUUCGUGCCAGCAGCCGC
rnacentral:rRNA from 1 species